CGGAAUUACUCGGCGUAAAGCGAGCGUAGGUGGCUUGAUAAGUCAGAUGUGAAAUCCCCGGGCUUAACCUGGGAACUGCAUCUGAUACUGUAGGCUAGAAUAGGUGAGAGGAAGGUAGAAUUCCCAGGUGUAGCGGUGAAAUGCGUAGAGAUCUGGAGGAAUACCGAUGGCGAAGGCAGCCUUCUGGCAUCAUAUUGACACUGAGGUUCGAAAGCGUGGGUAGCAAACAGGAUUAGAUACCCUGGUAGUCCACGCCGUAAACGAUGUCUACUAGUCGUUGGGUCCCUUGAGGACUUAGUGACGCAGCUAACGCAAUAAGUAGACCGCCUGGGGAGUACGGCCGCAAGGUUAAAACUCAAAUGAAUUGACGGGGGCCCGCACAAGCGGUGGAGCAUGUGGUUUAAUUCGAUGCAACGCGAAGAACCUUACCUGGUCUUGACAUAUCUAGAAUCCUGCAGAGAUGCGGGAGUGCCUUCGGGAAUUAGAAUACAGGUGCUGCAUGGCUGUCGUCAGCUCGUGUCGUGAGAUGUUGGGUUAAGUCCCGCAACGAGCGCAACCCUUGUCCUUAGUUACCAGCGGGUUAAGCCGGGAACUCUAAGGAUACUGCCAGUGACAAACUGGAGGAAGGCGGGGACGACGUCAAGUCAUCAUGGCCCUUACGACCAGGGCUACACACGUGCUACAAUGGUAGGUACAGAGGGCAGCUACACAGCGAUGUGAUGCGAAUCUCAAAAAGCCUAUCGUAGUCCAGAUUGGAGUCGGCAACUCGACUCCCAUGAAGUACGAAUCGCUNGNAAUGCGNGGAUCAGAAUCGCCCACUNUNCAANNUCCAR
rnacentral:rRNA from 1 species